UACGAAGGGGGCUAGCGUUGUUCGGAAUUACUGGGCGUAAAGGGUUCGUAGGUGGCCAACUAAGUCAGACGUGAAAUCCCUCAGCUUAACUGGGGAACUGCGUCUGAUACUGGUUGGCUUGAGUGCAGGAGAGGAACGCGGAAUUCCAGGUGUAGCGGUGAAAUGCGUAGAUAUCUGGAGGAACACCGGUGGCGAAGGCGGCGUUCUGGACUGCAACUGACACUGAGGAACGAAAGCCAGGGUAGCAAACGGG
rnacentral:rRNA from 1 species